rnacentral:rRNA from 1 species
CUACGGGUUGCUGCAGCCGGGAAUUUUCCGCAAUGGGCGAAAGCCUGACGGAGCGACACCGCGUGAAGGAUGAAGGCCUUCGGGUUGUAAACUUCUUUUAUAUGGGAAGAAGGUAGCGUAAGCUACUUGACGGUACCAUACGAAUAAGCACCUGCUAACUACGUGCCAGAAGCCUCGGUAAUACGUAGGGUGCAAGCAUUAUCCGGAAUUACUGGGCGUAAAGAGUAUCGUAGGCAGUUUGGUAAGUGUGUAGUGAAAUCUUCGGGCUCAACCCGAAAACUGCUACGCAUACUGCCAGACUAGAGAAUAUCAGAGGAUGCUGGAAUUUUCGGUGGAGCAGUGAAAUGCGUUGAUAUCGAAAAGAACACCAAGGGCGAAGGCAGGCAUCUGGGAUACUUCUGACGCUGAUGAACGAAAGCUAGGGGAGCAAAAGGGAUUAGAUACCCCCGUAGUC